AGCUCCAAUAGCGUAUAUUAAAGUUGUUGCAGUUAAAAAGCUCGUAGUUGGAUUUGUGGUUGACUCUGGUCGCCUGACAUUCGUGUCGGUGUGGACCGGUGUCGCCAUCCUUGGGUGGAAUCUGUGUGGCAUUAGGUUGUCGUGCAGGGGAUGCUCAUCUUUUACUGUGAAAAAAUUAGAGUGUUCAAAGCAGGCUUACGCCGUUGAAUAUAUUAGCAUGGAAUAAUAAGAUAGGACCUCGGUACUAUUUUGUUGGUUUGCGCACUGAGGUAAUGAUUAAUAGGGACAGUUGGGGGUAUUCGUAUUCCAUUGUCAGAGGUGAAAUUCUUGGAUUUUUGGAAGACGAACUACUGCGAAAGCAUUUACCAAGGAUGUUUUCAUUAAUCAAGAACGAAAGUAC
rnacentral:rRNA from 1 species